GACGAACGCUGGCGGCGUGCUUAACACAUGCAAGUCGAACGAUGAAGAAAAGAAUCGAAGCUUCGGCAGAAAAUCAUUUCGGAUUAGUGGCAGACGGGUGAGUAACGCGUGAGCAACCUACCUCUUACAAAGGGAUAGCCUCGGGAAACCGGGAUUAAUACCAUAUAACAUUGCGACGAAGCAUUUCGAUGCAAUCAAAGCUACGGCGGUAAGAGAUGGGCUCGCGUCCCAUUAACCGGAUGGUGAGGUAACGGCUCACCAUAGUGACGAUGGGUAACCGGCCUGAGAGGGUGAACGGUCACACUGGAACUGAGACACGGUCCAGACUCCUACGGGAGGCAGCAGUGGGGAAUAUUGCACAAUGGAGGGAACUCUGAUGCAGCGACGCCGCGUGAGUGAUGAAGGAAUUCGUUUCGUAAAACUCUGUUCUAUGGGAAGAAAAGGACUGUACCAUAGGAGAAAGCUCCGGCUAAAUACGUG
rnacentral:rRNA from 1 species